GACGAACGCUGGCGGCACGCCUAACACAUGCAAGUCGAACGAGAUCUUCGGGUCUAGUGGCGCACGGGUGCGUAACGCGUGGGAAUCUGCCCUUUGGUUCGGAAUAACAGUUGGAAACGACUGCUAAUACCGGAUGAUGACGAAAGUCCAAAGAUUUAUCGCCAGAGGAUGAGCCCGCGUAGGAUUAGCUAGUUGGUGUGGUAAAGGCGCACCAAGGCGACGAUCCUUAGCUGGUCUGAGAGGAUGAUCAGCCACACUGGGACUGAGACACGGCCCAGACUCCUACGGGAGGCAGCAGUGGGGAAUAUUGGACAAUGGGCGAAAGCCUGAUCCAGCAAUGCCGCGUGAGUGAUGAAGGCCUUAGGGUUGUAAGGCUCUUUUACCCGGGAUGAUAAUGACAGUACCGGGAGAAUAAGCUCCGGCUAACUACGUGCCAGCCGCCGCAGUAA
rnacentral:rRNA from 1 species